UACGUAGGGGGCAAGCGUUGUCCGGAAUUAUUGGGCGUAAAGAGCGUGUAGGCGGUCCGGUAAGUCCGCUGUGAAAGUCCAGGGCUCAACCCUGGAAUGCCGGUGGAUACUGCCGGGCUAGAGUCCGGAAGAGGCGAGUGGAAUUCCUGGUGUAGCGGUGAAAUGCGCAGAUAUCAGGAGGAACACCGGUGGCGAAGGCGGGUCUCUGGGCCGAUGACUGACGCUGAGGAGCGAAAGCGUGGGGAGCGAACAGG
rnacentral:rRNA from 1 species